rnacentral:rRNA from 1 species
CCAUCCCCCUCUGGUGCCUUCGCCUCCCCACCGACUCCGUCAAUUCCUUUUCAGGUUUCAGUCUUGCGACGGUACCUUACCCAGAAAGACCACGGCAACUACGUGCCAGCAGCCGCGGAAUACGUAGGUGGCAAGCGUUAUCCGGAAUUAUUGGGCGGUAAAGCGCGCGUAGGCGGUCUCUUUAAGUUCUGAUGUGAAAGACCCCCGGCNCAACCGGGGAGGGCAUGGAAAUGGGAGAUUGAGUACAGAAGAGGAGAGUGGAAUUCCAUGUGUAGCGGUGAAAUGCGCAGAGAUAUGGAGGAACACCAGUGGCGAAGGCCGGCUCUCUGGUCUGUAACCUGACGCUGAGGUGCGAAAGGACGUGGGGAUCAAACAGGGAUUAGAUACCCUGGUAGUCCACGCCGUGAACGAUUGAGUGCUAGUGUUGGGGGGGUUUCCGCCCCUCAGUGCUGCAGCUAACGCAUUAAGCACUCCCGCCUGGGGAGUACGGUCGCAAGACUGAAACUCAAAGGGAAUUGACG